UAUUAUAUGAUUGGAUUAUGAUAUGGAUAAAUUCCACGAUGUUUGUUCAUCAAUUCAGUCGUUAAGCUGGAAGAAAUACUAGCAUUGAUUGUGUGGGCGCUUAGGAAGGAGAGAUUCAAAAAAAUUCUAGACCGAUAAACCAAUAAAAUAUUGUCGUUCGAUGUCCACGUUCUCAUAAAGCGUUCCCGGAAAUCUCGUCGGCAUUUAAAGCAAAAUAAUCGUUUCUGCUUAGCGCUAUCGGAUCAGUUCGGAUACGGAUCUUGGAUUGCUCGGCCAUCAGAGUUGAGUCAUAAAACGCGGUUGUGUUCGAUUUGCCAAUACGCUGAUCGCGUGAUUACCGUUAUCAGCGUUUUUCCUCUCUCUUCUCUAUCCCGAACUAUUCAACACGUGAGUAAUAUCACGUCGUUUUUACACCCGAAGGCUCUGGUACACACGUCGCGACGCAGUAUAUCGCCCCAAACUUGUCAACAGUUCAGGGAGACCUGUGGCCUGACGGUCCUUGAGAGGGGCGCUGAGCCGGUCGGGGCAUUGUUGUCCCGGGGCCUUGAAGUCUUCCAUAGCCCAUAGCCCACCGGUAGAACCGUCCAAUUUUCUUGCUCCAUGAACAAGAAACUAGAGACAACUCACUUGUGUGUGAAAAACAACGAUGUUCUCAAACUGACAGAAUCUGCUAAGUGGGAAACAUCUGCAUGAAACUUCACCAAUCCUUAAGUCGAAAAAGCAGAAGAGAAAGGCCGAAGUAUCGAAAAACUGAAACUAAAGUUUUGCAUUGUCACGGAUGAACAGUAAUGCACUUGUAUGCCCUUGGUAUGUGAAACAUGAGGGUUUUUCAGAAAUCUCAGUUUGGAAUUUUAACGGUACACUCAUUGAUCGUGGGUCUGGCAAUAUUUCAAGCGUGUUUCACUUAAAACUUAUAAGCCACUAUAGUAUGAAAAAGGUUUGCAAUUGUUAUAGUUUAAAGGUAUUGACGUCAAGUAAAUAACAAA